rnacentral:rRNA from 1 species
UACGUAGGGUGCGAGCGUUAAUCGGAAUUACUGGGCGUAAAGCGUGCGCAGGCGGUUUUGUAAGCCAGGUGUGAAAUCCCCGGGCUCAACCUGGGAAUGGCAUUUGGGACUGCAAGGCUGGAGUGCGGCAGAGGAGACUGGAAUUCCUGGUGUAGCAGUGAAAUGCGUAGAUAUCAGGAGGAACACCGAUGGCGAAGGCAGGUCUCUGGGCUGACACUGACGCUGAGGCUCGAAAGCGUGGGGAUCAAACAGG